rnacentral:lncRNA from 1 species
CUUUACUCGGAACAUUGUUAUUUGAUAUUCUCGGUAUCUCUGCUGCUGUUUGAAUAUACUUAACUUUGAACAUUUAAAUUGGUGAUCUCGACAUCUCUUCGAAUCACUGAUCUGAAAUAAGACUGGAUAAAGCAUCCUAUUGAAUUCAGAAAUCCGAUUUUGAAGCCAGUAAUGAGAUGAGAUUUAUAAAUCAAAUUCAUGACCAGUCUAAUCGUUUGCUGUUUAAGUUCAGUUAGACUAUAAAGCAAAUAUCAUCGCCUAUGUGACUUGUGAAAUAUAGCUUCCAAAACCUUUUCGAAGUAGUUUUAGAACGUUUUAUACACCACCUAAUGAGGCUGAUGGCGGCCGUAUUUGAUGGCCCAUUAGUUAUUCACCGGCAAAUUUAGGGGAAAAAAGAGGCCACUGAUGAUAAAUUCUUAUCUAGGCAAUAUUUGUCCUUUCCCACUAGUGACUAGAAACGUAAAGGAAGUGUUAAACAUGAUCACAACACGUACCAGAUUAGAGUAACAGUGGGGCCAUCCAAUAUGGCUGCCAUUGGCUUCACUUAUGCACAGCAGAUGCUUUAUCCAGUCUUAUUUCAGAUCAGUGGUUCGAAUAUACUUAACUUUGAACGUUUAGCUUCACGAUCCUGUUGGUGUGGAGUAUUAGAGAGUUUAUGCUUCGCGUUAUACGUUUCAGGUAAUAAAGAGCAAGUUAGCUUGCCGUUUUAAAACUGAAAUACAUAAUUAUUCUUUCGACACAAGAUAGAAAAUAUGAAACGAAAACGUUCAAAAAAAAUUUGGCAAGAAAAUUCAAACCUGCCGUUUGAAUUGCCGUUCCCGGAAACGUGAAGCUUAUUUAGCUAUUUAAGUAACUCUUUAUUCUUAUUCAUUUACGUGGGAGAGGCGGCGCACUGCAUGAUUGUGUUUAAGUGUUUUCCACAGUAUAAACUGAAUUUAUCAUACGGUACCUCGAUCUACUUUCCAUUAUUCUUGAUUGGUUAGUGGAGCAGUGGAGAGGAUGGUGCGUUGUAAAUAUAUGUUGUGAAUUUCUCUGUGAACUUUUUACUGCAUACUGUAGUUCAUGUAAAGUAAUGUAACAUCAUUUUGUAAAAAUGUUGGGGUUUUUUUUCAUAAUUUAAUCCAAAUUUUCACCGUAUUUUGCUGAAAAUAUGGCAAUCUCUAUUCGAAAUUUAUAUAAAAAAUUCGAUCAGAACGCAGGAAAUCGCAUUUCCGAGGUUCUAGAUUUCCAAAUUUUGCAAAGACAUGAGGAAUUAUGCAUCUCUCAGCUAAAACCAUGGAUCCGGCCCUGUUGUAAAGGCCUAAGAACAUAUUUAUUAUCCAAAUAUGUAGUAGAUAAACCAUAAUAAGUAGACAAUAACUGUAAAUAUAAACAUAAUUAUUUUAACUUAUGCUUUUUAGAUAACAUAGAGAUAAACUUUACUUUGUAAUCUAUAGCAGUUGAAGACAUGGGCUAACCGGGCGGGGGGGGAGCCCCCCAGUUUGUUGGGCAAACAGUCGGGCAAUAUUGGCUUAUUAUAAAAAUAAAUGGGACAAAUUCUGUGAAUUUUGUGGGAAAUUCUGUCAAUCUUGUAGGAAAUAUGCUAUGUAAUAGGAAUUCCCCCCCCCCCCGACAACAGUUUUGGAAAGUUUCUCUGAAAAUUUUCUUUUGACAACUCGGACACAAUCCAAAAAAUAGGGCAAAUCUCUUUCCGCCCCAUAAUUUUUCAAUUCCCGUAUGCCCAUGGUUGAAGAGCCACUCUGUGGAUACACUGUUAUUAAAUCAUUAUUAUAUGGAAUUCUUCAGGGGUAAAGUGUUUUGAGUUUGGAAUUCUUCAGGGGUGAAGUGUUUUGAGUUUGGAAUUCUUCAGGGGUAGAGUGUUUUGAGUUUGGAAUUCUUUAGGGGUAAAGUGUUUUGAGUUUGGAAUUCUUCAGGGGUAGGGUGUUUUGAGCUUGGAAUUCUUCAGGGGUAAGUGUUUUGAGCUUGGAAUUCUUCAGGGUAGGGUGUUUUGAGUUUGGAAUUCUUCAGGGGUAAAGGAUUUUGAGUUUGGAAUUCUUCAGGGGUAGGGUGUUUUGAGUUUGGAAUUCUUCAGGGGUAGGGUGUUUUGAGUUUGGAAUUCUUCAGGGGUAGGGUGUUUUGAGUUUGGAAUUCUUCAGGGGUAGGGUGUUUUGAGUUUGGAAUUCUUCAGGGGUAGAGUGUUUUGAGUUUGGAAUUCUUCAGGGGUAAAGGAUUUUGAGUUUGGAAUUCUUCAGGGGUAGGGUGUUUUGAGUUUGGAAUUCUUCAGGGGUAGAGUGUUUUGAGUUUGGAAUUCUUCAGGGGUAAAGGAUUUUGAGUUUGGAAUUCUUCAGGGGUAAAGUGUUUUGAGUUUGGAAUUCUUCAGGGGUAGAGUGUUUUGAGUUUGGAAUUCUUCAGGGGUAAAGGAUUUUGAGCUUGGAAUUCUUGUUUUGAGUUUGGAAUUCUUCAGGGGUAGGGUGUUUUGAGUUUGGAAUUCUUCAGGGGUAGAGUGUUUUGAGCUUGGAAUUCUUCGGGGGUAGGGUGUUUUGAGUUUGGAAUUCUUCAGGGGUAGAGUGUUUUGAGCUUGGAAUUCUUCAGGGGUAAAGAGGUUUGAGAUCGAAAUUUUUCAGAGUUUGGAAUUCUUCAGGGGUAAAGUGUUUUGAGCUUGGAAUUCUUCAGGGGUACAGUGUUUUGAGCUUGGAAUUCUUCAGGGGUAGGGUGUUUUGAGUUUGGAAUUCUUCAGGGGUAAAGGAUUUUGAGCUUGGAAUUCUUCAGGGGUAAAGUGUUUUGAGUUUGGAAUUCUUCAGGGGUAGGGUGUUUUGAGUUUGGAAUUCUUCAGGGGUAGAGUGUUUUGAGCUUGGAAUUCUUCGGGGGUAGGGUGUUUUGAGUUUGGAAUUCUUCAGGGGUAGAGUGUUUUGAGCUUGGAAUUCUUCAGGGGUAAAGAGGUUUGAGAUCGAAAUUUUUCAGAGUUUGGAAUUCUUCAGGGGUAAAGUGUUUUGAGUUUGGAAUUCUUCAGGGGUAAAGUGUUUUGAGUUUGAAAUUCUUCAGGGGUAACGUGUUUCGAGUUUGGAAUUCUUCAGGGGUACAGUGUUUUCAGCUUGGAAUUCUUAAGGGGUAAAGGAUUUUGAGUUUGGAAUUCUUCAGGGGUUCAGUGUUUUGAGCUUGGAAUUCUUAAGGGUAAAGGGUUUUGAGUUUGGAAUUCUUCAGGGGUACAGUGUUUUGAGCUUGGAAUUCUUAAGGGGUAAAGGAUUUUGAGUUUGGAAUUCUUCAGGGGUACAGUGUUUUGAGCUUGGAAUUCUUAAGGGGUAAAGGAUUUUGAGUUUGGAAUUCUUCAGGGGUACAGUGUUUUGAGCUUGGAAUUCUUCAGGGGCAAAGGAUUUUGAGUUUGGAAUUCUUCAGGGGUACAGUGUUUUGAGCUUGGAAUUCUUAAGGGGUAAAGGAUUUUGAGUUUGGAAUUCUUCAGGGCUAAAGUGUUUUGAGUUUGGAAUUCUUCAGGGGUAGAGGAUUCGAGCUUGGAAUUCUUCAGGGGUAAAGAGGUUUGAGAUCGAAAUUUUUCAGAGUUUGGAAUUCUUCAGGGGUAAAGUGUUUUGAGUUUGGAAUUCUUCAGGGGUAAAGUGUUUUGAGUUUGAAAUUCUUCAGGGGUAACGUGUUUCGAGUUUGGAAUUCUUCAGGGGUAAAGUGUUUUGAGUUUGGAAUUCUUCAGGGGUAAAGUGUUUUGAGUUUGGAAUUCUUCAGGGGUAACGUGUUUCGAGUUUGGAAUUCUUCAGGGG